GAUUAAGUAGUUUAAUUUAAAACAUUGAUUUGUUAGUUCAAUAAUAGAUUUAAUAUCUUUUAAUCU
rnacentral:tRNA from 1 species